GAGAGAGACAGAGAGAAAGGUCUUCAUUCCAUUGGUUCACUCCCCAAAUGGCCACUGCGGCAGGAACUACAACAAUCCGAAGCCAGGAACCAGGUGCUUCUUCCUGAUCUUCCAUGUGAGUGCAGGCGCCCAAGCACUUAGCCCAUCCUUCACUGCCUUCCCGGGCCACAGCAGAGAGCUGGACUGGAAGAGGAGCAUCCAGGACUGGAACCGGGUGCCCAUAUGGGAUGCUGGUGACACAGGCAGAGGAUCAACCAAAUUGCCAAAGCAUCUACCUCUGGUGGAGUAGAUGCAUUACCAUGUAGUACCAACAUUAGCAAGAGAUCCAUUCCAUUUCCUCCAGUGGAUUCAUGAGGCCAGAUACAACUUCAACAGUUUGGUUACCUUGAAGUGUUACAUAAAGGAAAAACUGUAAGUUCUCAUGAUAAUGAAGGAUAUUUAACUGAUUAGAAUUCUAACUGCAAGCAAUUGCUGUAGAGAAAUGCUAAGCUUUCACUGUAUAAUGGGCAGAAUAAUCAUACAAGUCCCAUUAUGCUGUGCUCCUUACAUCCUUGUAUAUGACCUUAG